CCGCAGUAUGCUCUGGCUGCCUGAACAGGUGGCCCAGUUGUGCUCUGAAGCCCGCGGCAGGGCACAACGGAUGACUUUGCGGGCUGGCUUCUGAUCUUCGCUGCGAGGUGAGGAAGCGAGAAAAUUUCGCAGCAUGGAAAGGUUGUACGCUGUCGUUGGCGGACUUCCUGACCGAGAUCAAAUCAACGACUAUGCAUGUAGAAGCAACUUGCUGACCAUCACGGGACGGGGGUUCAAAUCCCCCCGGCUCCAUUU
rnacentral:tmRNA from 1 species